CUUUUUCAUGGUGCCUUGAAGCCCAUCAGCUGCUUCAAGGUGAAGCUGAAUAUCUCCUUCCCAGCCACUGGCUGCCAGAAACUCGAUGAAGUGGAUGAUGAACACAAGCUCCGUACCUUCUACAAGAAGUACAUGGCCACAGAAGUUGCCGCAGACUUCCUGGGUGAAGAAUGGAAGGGUUAUGUGGUCCGAAUCAGUGGCAGGAGCAAUAAGCAAGGUUUCCCCAUGAAGCAGGGUGUCUUGCCCCGUGACUGUGUCUGCCUGCUGCUGAGUAAGGGGCAUUCCUGUUACAGACCAAGGAGAACUGGAGAAAGAAAGCGCAAAUCUGUUCGGGGUUGCAUUGUGGAUGUCAAUCUGAGCGUUCUCAACUUGGUUAUUUAAAAAAAAGGAGAGAAGGAUAUUCCUGGGCUGACUGAUACUACAGUGCCUUGUCAACUGGGGCCCAAAAGGGCUAGUAGAAUCUGCAAACUCUUCAGUCUCUCUAAAGAAGAUGAUGUCCGCUGGUAUGUUGUAAGAAAGCCCUUAAAGAAGGUAAGAAACCUAGGACCAAAGCACCCAAGAUUCUGCGUCUUGUUACCCUACGUGUCCUGCAACACAAACGCUGACAUAUUGCUUUGAAGAAACAGUGUACUAAGAAAAAUAAGGAAGAGGCUGCAGAAUAUGCUAAUCUUUUGUCCAAGAGAAUGAAGGAGGCCAAAGAAAAACACCAGGAACAGAUUGCCAAGAGACGCAAACUAUCUUCUCUGUGAGCUUCUACUUCCAAGUCUGAGUCUAGUCAAAAAUAA